rnacentral:rRNA from 1 species
UAGUUUGAUCCUGGCUCAGGACGAACGCGGGCGGCGUGCUUAACACAUGCAAGUCGAACGAUGAAGCCUGCAACUUGUUGUGGGUGGAUUAGUGGCGAACGGGUGAGUAAUACGUGGGUAACCUGCCCUCCUUUUUGGGAUAAGCCUUGGAAACGGGGUCUAAUACCGAAUAUUCUGGCGCUCUCGCAUGGGGGUGUUGGGAAAGCUUUUGUGUGAAGGGGGAUGGGCUCGCGGCCUAUCAGCUUGUUGGUGGGGUGAUGGCCUACCAAGGCGGUGACGGGUAGCCGGCCUGAGAGGGUGACCGGCCACAUUGGGACUGAGAUACGGCCCAGACUCCUACGGGAGGCAGCAGUGGGGGAUAUUGCACAAUGGGCGAAAGCCUGAUGCAGCGACGCCGCGUGGGGGAUGAAGGCUUUCGGGUUGUAAACCUCUUUCGCUAUCGAACAAGGCCCGGUUAGGGUGGGUUGAGGGUAGGUGGAGAAGAAGCGCCGGCUAACUACGUGCC